rnacentral:rRNA from 1 species
AGAGUUUGAUCCUGGCUCAGGAUGAACGCUGGCGGCGUGCUUAACACAUGCAAGUCGAACGGGGGCAGGAGGAAACCUAGUGAAUCCUGCCCUAGUGGCGGACGGGUGAGUAACGCGUGGGCAACCUGCCGCAUACCGGGGGAUAACACUUAGAAAUAGGUGCUAAUACCGCAUAAGCGCACAGAGCCGCAUGGCUUGGUGUGAAAAACUCCGGUGGUAUGCGAUGGGCCCGCGUCUGAUUAGCUUGUUGGCGGGGCAGCGGCCCACCAAGGCGACGAUCAGUAGCCGGCCUGAGAGGGUGGACGGCCACAUUGGGACUGAGACACGGCCCAGACUCCUACGGGAGGCAGCAGUGGGGAAUAUUGCACAAUGGGGGGAACCCUGAUGCAGCGACGCCGCGUGAGUGAAGAAGUAUUUCGGUAUGUAAAGCUCUAUCAGCAGGGAAGAAAAUGACGGUACCUGACUAAGAAGCCCCGGCUAACUACGUGCCAGCAGCCGCGGUAAUACGUAGGGGGCAAGCGUUAUCCGGAUUUACUGGGUGUAAAGGGAGCGCAGACGGCUGUGCAAGUCUGGAGUGAAAGGCGGGGGCCCAACCCCCGGACUGCUCUGGAAACUGUAAAGCUGGAGUGCAGGAGAGGUAAGCGGAAUUCCUAGUGUAGCGGUGAAAUGCGUAGAUAUUAGGAGGAACACCAGUGGCGAAGGCGGCUUACUGGACUGCAACUGACGUUGAGGCUCG